ensembl:snoRNA
UGCUCUCUUGUUUUGUCUAACUGUAGACUGAUUUAUGAAAAGGUACAAAAGAAAAUCCUCUUUUCCAACCCAAAAUUUAUUGUUCGGUAUGAGUUUUAAUACAUAUAAGAAAGAAUAUU